AGAGUUUGAUCAUGGCUCAGGAUGAACGCUAGCGGCAGGCUUAACACAUGCAAGUCGAGGGGUAUAGUAGCAAUACUAGAGACCGGCGCACGGGUGCGUAACGCGUAUGCAACCUACCUUUUACAGGGGGAUAGCCCAGAGAAAUUUGGAUUAAUACCCCAUGGUAUAAUUGAAUGGCAUCAUUUAAUUAUUAAAGUUCCAACGGUAAAAGAUGGGCAUGCGUCCUAUUAGCUAGAUGGUAAGGUAACGGCUUACCAUGGCUACGAUAGGUAGGGGUCCUGAGAGGGAGAUCCCCCACACUGGUACUGAGACACGGACCAGACUCCUACGGGAGGCAGCAGUGAGGAAUAUUGGACAAUGGGCGCAAGCCUGAUCCAGCCAUGCCGCGUGCAGGAAGAAGCAUCUAUGGUGUGUAAACUGCUUUUGUACGGGAAGAAACACUCCUUCGUGAAGGAGCUUGACGGUACCGUAAGAAUAAGGAUCGGCUAACUCCGUGCCAGCAGCCGCGGUAAUACGGAGGAUCCAAGCGUUAUCCGGAAUCAUUGGGUUUAAAGGGUCCGUAGGCGGUUUAAUAAGUCAGUGGUGAAAUCUGGUCGCUCAACGAUCAAACGGCCAUUGAUACUGUUAGACUUGAAUUACUGGGAAGUAACUAGAAUAUGUAGUGUAGCGGUGAAAUGCUUAGAUAUUACAUGGAAUACCAAUUGCGAAGGCAGGUUACUACCAGUGGAUUGACGCUGAUGGACGAAAGCGUGGGGAGCGAACAGGAUUAGAUACCCUGGUAGUCCACGCCGUAAACGAUGGAUACUAGCUGUUGGGCGCAAGUUCAGUGGCUAAGCGAAAGUGAUAAGUAUCCCACCUGGGGAGUACGUUCGCAAGAAUGAAACUCAAAGGAAUUGACGG
rnacentral:rRNA from 1 species